rnacentral:lncRNA from 1 species
AUCCAUUAAACCAAAUUGAGCCAUAGACAUAAAUAAUCAUCAAUUCAAUAGUAUAUCACCAUAUCCACCUUCCAUAACUCAAUUACCAUAUCCACCUUCCACAAUUCAAUACAACCAAACCAUGCAAAAUAGUCCAUAACCCUAUUUUCAUCACCUUUCAAUAACAACCAAUACAUAUAAUCCUCUAUCACACAUAUACAUAUGGAAGAGAACAAAGGCAAAUAAUAUUCAUACCUUAGAAAUCACCUCUUGAUUAUACAAUCCUGUUUGCGCAAAUGAUAGGUGCCGUUCGAAGCUCGAGAUGACAAACGCUGUUAUCGAAUUACUUUGAAAUUUCUACGGUUGAAUCAAAAGUAAUUUAAAGGUCAAAUUUGGCUAGGGUUUGUUCUUUCUCAAUGAUUAAUGAUGAAAAUGAGUUUUUGAACUCAUAUACAUGUAUAUAUACACAUAUUACCAUCCAUAAUAUAAUAGAAAAUGACCCAAAUGACUUUAAAAUUUAAAUAAUGUCAAAUCUGUCCUUUGGUGGACUGUUUUGGUAAGCUAAAGUAGAUCGACCAUAACUCUUUGCUCCGAUAUUAGAUUUGGGUGAAAUUGAUAUCGUUGGAAAGAUAACUCAAAGGUCUUUCAUUUCAUAUAAAGUAGGCCACCCAGUUCGUCUUGUACAAGGAAUUAUGGUUAUCUGAAUUUGACCCUAAAAAUUUGUUAUGUUAGGCUGAAGUAAAACGCGUAUAACUUCUUAUUUAGACGUUGGAUUUGGAUGAAACCAAUUGAAUUGGAAAGAAGACUCAAAGAUAUUUCUUUUCAUAGAUCUCAGCACUCCCAGUUCAUUAUAUUAAGGGAGUUAUGAUCAUUCGAAGUUGACCCAAAAAUUUGGUUGGCCUCAGUAGUUUGUGUGCCGGAAAUUUUCCUGCACAUUUACUAUUCCUAAAUAUCCCAGCCACCGUUUUAUAGUUUCGAACGUGCUCGAUUAUAUCCGAAACCUAUUCUUUUUUGGAAAUCUUUAUAUCGUUGGAAAGCUUAUUCAAUAACCUUCGCAUAGAACCAUCGACGGGCGAAUUCCGAUAUAAAUAAAAUAAAAGAAUUAAUUCCAUAUAAAUAUAACCAAUACACGUACUUGAAUACGCCAAUACAUGUACGUGAAUACGGUGUGUUACAUCCUUCCCCCCUUUAGGACAUUCGUCCUCGAAUGUUAGCGUAGUUAUUCAACCGAAACAAGUUUAAGUCCAUCAUUAAAAUUCACAUCAUCACAUAAAUACUAUGCAUAUAUAAUAAAAAACUUACUUGUUAAUGUUCUAACUCCGUUUCUUGUACUUCCUCUUUAUCUUUGAACAAAUGAGGGUACUUAGAUUUCAUUGCUUCCUCAUAUUCCCAUGUAAUCUCUUCCCUUUGAGGAUUUCUCCAACGUAUUUUCACCGAAGCUAUCUCUUUAUUUCUCAUCUUCUUAACUUGGUGAUCUAGAAUAGCAAUAGGCACUUCCUCAUAGGUAAGAUCUUCCGCAACUUGCACAUCCUCAGUUGAAGUGAUAUGUGAUGGAUCUCUGAUGCACUUUCGAAGCAUUGACACAUGAAAUACCGGAUGUAUUGAUGAGAGCUCUUGGGGUAGCUCUAAUUCAUAUGCAACUUGUCGAAACCUUCGAGUGAUCUUAUACGGUCCUAUAUAAUGUGGACUCAACUUCUCUUUCUUGCCAAAUCUCAUUACCCCUCUUAUUGGUGAUACCUUCAAAAGUACCCAAUCAUCUAUAGAAAACUCUAGUCCUCUCCUUCUACUAUCUGCAUAUGACUUGUGUCGACUUUGGGCUAUUUUUAGUCGUUGCUGAAUUACUUUAACCUUCUCUGUGGCUUGAUAAACAAGAUCCGGUGUAAACAAAAGACUUUUACCUAAUUCGAACCAUCCUAUUGGUGAUCUACACUUCCUUCCAUAUAAAGCUUCAUAUGGUGACAUUUUGAUACUUGAAUGAUAGCUAUUACUGUAGGCAAACUCAAUAAGAGGUAAAUGAUCAUCCAGUUGCCCUUAAAAUCUACUUGUCCAUCUGUUUGAGGGUGAAAAGCUGUACUCAACUUCAUUUGUGUUCCCAAACACUUCUGAAAAGACUUCCAAAAGUUUGCAGUAAAUUGGGUUCCCCGAUCUGAUAUAAUAGAGAUUGGCACUCCAUGUAAUCGAACUAUCCCUUUAAUGCACAGCUUCGCAUACUCUUCAACUGUGUAAGUGGUCCUAACUGGUAGGAAAUGUUCGGAUUUGGUAAGCCUAUCAACAAUCACCCAUAUAGAAUCAAACUUCCAGGAUGUACGAGGCAAACUAAUAACAAAGUCCAUGUUGGUCAUGUCCCACUUCCAUCUUGGAAGAUCAAUGCAUUGCAUAUAACCUCCGGGUUUUUGGUGCUCAACUUUAACUCUUUGACAAUUUGGACAUUCAGCUACAAAUUCUGCAAUGCCCUUCUUCAUGUCAUUCCACCAACACAUAUCUUUCAAAUCUUGAUACAUUAUGGUUGAUCUUGGAUGAAUGGAAUACAUUGAAAAUGUGCCUCUGUCAUAAUCUUCUUUCUUAGACCGUCAACAUUCGGCAUACACAAUCGGUUUUGGUACUGAAGUAUACCUUCUCGCGUAAGCUCAAAUGCCUUGGUCGUACCACUCUGAACGUUCUCCUUUAGCUGUAAUAAAAUAGGAUCUACAUAUUGCUUCUCUUUCACUUCAGCUACUAAUGAAGAUUCAGCAGCAUUAUGUACGAUAAGCUCUUUAUUCGGAGUUUCAAGAAGGCAAACUCCCAAACUAGUUAACUGGUGAAGAUAUUUAAUCAUCCCUUUCCUUUCUAUAGGCACCAUCAUAGCCUUAUGACUUAACGCAUCAGCUACCACAUUUACUUUCCGUGGAUGGUACAAGAUAUCAACAUCGUAUUCUUUUAAUAGUUCAAGCCAUCUCUGCUACCUUAAAUUUAGAUCCUUCUGAUUAAAAAUAUAUUGCAAGCUCUUAUGGUCAGUAUAUAUAUCAACAUGAACCCCAUAUAAGUAGUGGCGCCAUAUCUUUAAAGCAAAAAUAACUGCUGCCAGCUCAAGAUUGUGUGUAGGAUAAUUUUUCUCAUGUGGCCGCAAUUGUCUAGAAGCAUAUGCUAUUACCUUACCAUGCUAUAUCAAUACACAUCCUAAACCAAUUUUUGAAGCAUUACAAUACACUGUAUACCCUUCAGUACCUUAUGGAAGUACCAACAUGGGUGUAGAAAUCAACUUGUUCUUUAAAUCUUGAAAACUCUUCUCACAGGCAUCAUUCCAUUUGAAUUUGGAUGCUUUAUGGGUUAGCUUGAUUAAGGGUGCUGAAAUAGAAGAAAAUCCGUUAACAAAACUUUUAUAAUAACCGGCCAACCCAAGAAAACUAUGAAUCUCUGUAGGGGUUGUGGGCCUUGGCUAGUUCUUCACAGCUUCUAUCUUUUGAGCAUCAACCUUUAUCCCUUCACUAGAUACAAUAAGACCCAAAAAUGCCACCGACUUUAACCAAAACUCAGAUUUAGAGAACUUUGCAUAAAGCUUACAAUCACGAAGAGUCUGCAAUGCCUGUCGUAAGUGAUUGGCAUGGUCCUCUUCUAAUCUAGAAUAAACUAGAAUAUCAUCUAUAAAAACUAUCACAAAUACAUCUAGGAAUGGCUUAAAAACCCUAUUCAUCAAAUCCAUAAAAGUUGCGGGUGCAUUUUUAUCCCAAAUGACAUAACUAGAAACUUAUAAUGACCAUACCGUGUUUGGAAAGCUAUCUAUGUGGUUUCGAUAAACCCUUCUAGCUAUAAUAGAUUCCCCAACCGGUGUGGAUACUUCAAAUGGCUUAACUAAUAGUUCGGGGAUUCUUUCGAACUUUCCAGCAACCAAUGGAGUAACAUAAGAUAAUGUAGAACCAGGAUCAAUAAAGGCAUAUAAAUCGAAUGAAAAGAUAGACAACAUACCCGUAACCACAUCUGGGGAAUCCUCUAAAUUCUGUCGAUCCGCUAGAGCAUAUGUACAAUUUUGAGCCCCGCUAGAAGCUAGAACUCGUGGCUCCUCUAUCCCCUCUAACACGACCCAUUGGUUAUGCACCCCUUCCUGAAUAAGGCAUUGAUGAUGAUGAUGCAACAAAUGACCUUGUAGUUCAUGCCAUACCCCCUAUGCCUCUUCGUGGGCAUUCUCUCAUCAUAUGCCCCGACAUACCGCACCAAAAGCAAACAUUGGUCCCCAGUCGACUUGCGCCCAAAUGAUACCUUCCACAUUUAUUGCAUAGCUCUCGAGGAGGUCUCGAUUAGCUCAUAUUCCCUUGCCCUUAGUACCCCACCGUCCGCGAACUCUUACUCUCACUUCUGUGCCCAAAUUGAUUUCCUCUGGACCCUUGGAACUGUGGUGGGGCACUAGCUGCAGAAUAAGAAGAUAAUGGCCUAGGUGGUCUAGCUGAAAACUGUCGACUGAACCCUCCUUGGGAUGGCAUGAACUGCCCUGUAGAUCUGUCCCUCUUGGAAUAUCCUCUUUCUAAUUCCUGUAUUCUUCUCCUCUGCCUCUGAUCUUCCAUUUUCUGUGCAAAAGCUUGGAUCCUCGCUAUGUCCAUAUCUUUGUUCAAAGUGGCAAUAGUAUAAUCUCUAACCAGAUAAGGAUCCAGUCUAUCGACAUAUUGAUGAACUCUGUCAUCCAUAGUAGCUACAACAUUAGGAGCAUAUCUUGACAAGGAAUUAAAUCGUAGAUUGUACUCCCUUACGCUCAUAUUCCCCUGACGAAGAUUUAAAAACUAAUCUGCACGGGCCUAACGAAUCUCAAAUGGAAGAUAAUGAUGAAGAAAUACCUCUUUGAACUCUUUCUAAGUAGCUGGGAGUGCAUCAAUACCCCUAGAUCGUUUCCAAUCCUCGUACCUAUAUAUAGCCUCCCCUUUAAAUCUAUACACCGCUAACUCCACUUCUCUCUGCCCGUUACAUGCAUAACAUCUAAGGCCCUUUGAAUUUGAUAAUUAAAGUCCUGUGGGUCCUCGUUAAGAUCUGAUCCAGCAAAAGUGAAAGGAUCCAUCUUAAGAAAAUCCUGUGUUCGAAGGCUAGCUGCCCUAUCUGUACAACUAGGACCCGUGGUAGGAAUGGCUUGCCCAGCAACUAUACGAGUCAAAAGUUCCACUGCAUUUCUAAGAACUUGGUCAACAACAUUAAUAGGUGGCUCUGGAGAUAUAGUUCUCCUCCCUCAUAUUUCUUCCGGAGUGGAAGAAAUUUCUGAUGCAUGCUCAGCUGGAGCCUUACUUUGAUUAGCUGGUAUAAUGGAUGACUUACUAGUCCCCUCUCCGGCAGCCACAUCUACUUGCUUACCAAUAUUCUUGCUUCUGGUAACCGGCAUCAUUACUAUAAUAAGAGAUACAAAUGGAUUCAAUGGCCAACUAUGACUUCAUAUACAAUAUAGGCUCUAUCGUACAAUCUAAGACAUGAAGAAAAGAAGCAAUUCCUAAAUGUCCAUAGCCUCCUGUUUAUAGAUGCGGUGCACGACACACCAAUAAACAAGACUCUACAUAGACACGACUUUGUAGACUCACUAGGACGAACUUUUCUGAUACCACUUUUGUCAUGCCUCAAAUCCUAUUGGGGUGGANNNNNNNNNNNNNNNNNNNNNNNNNNNNNNNNNNNNNNNNNNNNNNNNNNNNNNNNNNNNNNNNNNNNNNNNNNNNNNNNNNNNNNNNNNNNNNNNNNNNNNNNNNNNNNNNNNNNNNNNNNNNNNNNNNNNNNNNNNNNNNNNNNNNNNNNNNNNNNNNNNNNNNNNNNNNNNNNNNNNNNNNNNNNNNNNNNNNNNNNNNNNNNNNNNNNNNNNNNNNNNNNNNNNNNNNNNNNNNNNNNNNNNNNNNNNNNNNNNNNNNNNNNNNNNNNNNNAACUAAGGUCGGAACACACCCCGCCAUAUAACUAACUUCUAUACAAUACCAAAAGUGACUGGAUAUGACACGGAAAGCCCCGAAGCAAACUGGAGCUCACCAAAAGCAGCUGGAUAUCGUUGCUCCUACUUGUGUGGUGUAUGAGCUGAGGUACCUAUGCUUGCAACAUGAAAUGCAGGUCCCUCGAGGGGGACGUCAGUACGAAAUAUGUAAUGAGUAAGUAAAGCUGUAGAUAAUCACAUAUGAUAUAGGAGCUCAAUAGAAAUAAAAAAUAAAUCGUAAUAGGAGUGGACCACACUUACUAGAAUUUGUGACAACCUGUACAUUGUAUUUAUUCAAUCACUUUACCUUCAUUCUUAUCAUCUUUGUAAUCAUUACUAUACUGUACUGUGACCAUUAAGCUGCUGAUGAUAGGCUUAUGCCCUUGGAAUUCCACCCAUAAACACAUAAAUAGGCAUCGAACCAUGAUAGGUUUAUGCCCCUGGGAUACCACCUGAUAAGAGAGAACUUCCAUCACUUAGUUCAAUUAAUAUUAGAGAUUUUUAUUUCGGUUGCCACCGCAUUUUUAAUACUUUGAAAUAAUGAUACAUCAAUAAGAGACAUAUAAAUAGGCCAUCUAUGCAAUAACAAUGAAGUAAGAACUCAUUGGCACAUCAAUGAAGUGUUUUGGAGUCAUCAAUGCCAUAACAAUGAAUUAGGAACUUAUUGGUAUAUCAAUGAAACGUUUUAGAGUCAUUAAUAGCACAUGGAUCUUGUUUGAGUAACCGGAUACCUUAUGACAAUCAUUAGUAACAAGUAAAUAUUAAUGUCUUGACAUCUUGUAGGGUGGAAAUAAGUUCAUUGGUUACGUAGGACAUCAUACAAAACCAUUAUGGAUCACAUGUUACUGAAUAACUUUGGAAACUUUCUUAAUAGAACAAUUGUUCACUUUCAUGCCAAGGAUAUGGUAUAGAGUAUGCUUUACAUACCUNNNNNNNNNNNNNNNNNNNNNNNNNNNNNNNNNNNNNNNNNNNNNNNNNNNNNNNNNNNNNNNNNNNNNNNNNNNNNNNNNNNNNNNNNNNNNNNNNNNNNNNNNNNNNNNNNNNNNNNNNNNNNNNNNNNNNNNNNNNNNNNNNNNNNNNNNNNNNNNNNNNNNNNNNNNNNNNNNNNNNNNNNNNNNNNNNNNNNNNNNNNNNNNNNNNNNNNNNNNNNNNNNNNNNNNNNNNNNNNNNNNNNCAUGCAAAAUAGUCCAUAAUCCUAUUUUCAUCACCUUUCAAUAACAACCAAUACAUAUAAUCCUCUAUCACACAUAUAAAUAUGGAAGAGAAUAAAGGCAAACAAUAUUCAUACCUUAGAAUUCACCUCUUGAUUAUGCAAUCCUGUUUGCACAAAUAAUAGGUGUCGUUCGAAGCUCUCGAGAUGACAAACGCAGUUAUCGGAUUACUUUGGAAUUUCUACGGUUGAAUCAAAAGUAAUUUAAAGGUCAAAUUUGGCUAGGGUUUGUUCUUUCUCAAUGAUUGAUGAUGAAAAUGAGUUUUUGAACUCAUAUACAUGUAUAUAUACACAUAUUCCCGUCCAUAAUAUAAUAGAAAAUGACCAAAAUGCCUUUAAAAUUUAAAUAAUGUCAAAUCUGUCCUUUGGUGGACUGUUUUGGUAAGCUAAAGUAGAUCAACCAUAACUCUUUGCUCCGAUAUUAGAUUUGGGUAAAAUUGGUAUCGUUGGAAAGAUAAAUCAAAGAACUUUCAUUUCAUAUAAAGUAGGCUACCCAGUUUGUCUUGUACAAGGAGUUAUGGUUAUCUGAAUUUGAUCCAAAAAAUUUGUUUUGUUAGGCUGAAGUAAAGAGAGUAUAACUUCUUAUUUAGACGUUGGAUUUGGAUAAAACCAAUUGAAUUAGAAAGAAGACUCAAUGAUAUUUCUUUUCAUAGGUCGCAGCUCUCCCAGUUCAUUAUAUUAAGGGAGUUAUGAUCAUUCGAAGUUGACCCGAAAAUUUGGCUGGCCUCAGAAGUUUGUUUGCAGGAAAUUUUCCUGCACAUUUACUAUUCCCAAAUAUCCCAGCCACAAUUUUAUAGUUUCGAAUGUGCUCGAUCAUAUCCGAAACCUAUCCUUUUUUGUAAAUCUUUAUAUCGUUGGAAAGCUUAUUCAAUAACCUUCUCACGGAACCAUCGAUGGGCAAAUUCUGGUAUAAAUAAAAUAAAAAAUUAAUUUCAUAUAAAUAAGACCAAUACACAUACUUGAAUACGCCAAUACAUGUACUUGAAUAUGGUGUGUUACAUCCUUCCCUCCUUUAGGACAUUCGUCCUCGAAUGUUUGCGUAGUUAUUCAACCGAAACAAGUUCAAGUCCAUCAUUAAAAUUCAUAUCAUCACAUAAAUACUAUGCAUAUAUCAAAAAAAACUUACUUGUUAAUGUUCUAACUCCGUUUCAUGUACUUCCUCUUUAUCUUUGAACAAAUGAGGGUACUUAGAUUUCAUUGAUUCCUUAUAUUCCCAUGUAAUCUCUUCCCUUUGACGAUUUCUCCAAUGUAUUUUCACCGAAGCUAUCUAUUUAUUUCUCAUCUUCUUAACUUGGCGAUCUAUAAUAGCAAUAGGCACUUCCUCAUAGGUAAGAUCAUCCGCAACUUGCACAUCCUCAGUAGAAGUGAUUUGUGAUGGAACUCCGAUGCACUUUCAAAGUAUUGACACAUGAAAUACCGGAUGUACUGAUGAGAGCUCUUGGGGUAGCUCUAAUUAAUAUGCAACUUGUCCAAACCUUUGAGUGAUCUUAUACGGGCCUAUAUAACGUGGACUCAACUUCCCUUUCUUGCCAAAUCUUAUUACCCCUCUUAUUGGUGAUACCUUCAAAAAUACCCAAUCAUCUAUAGAAAACUCUAGUCCUCUCCUUCUACUAUCCGCAUAUGACUUGUGUCGACUUUGGGCUAUUUUUAGUCAUUGCUGAAUUACUUUAACCUUCUCUGUGGCUUGCUAAACAAGAUCCGGUCCAAACAAAAGAGUUUCACCUACUUCGAACCAUCCUAUUGGUGAUCUACACUUCCUUCCAUAUAAAGCUUCAUAUGGUGCCAUUUUGAUACUUGAAUGAUAGCUAUUAUUGUAGGUAAACUCAAUAAGAGGUAAGUGAUCAUCCCAGUUGCCCUAUACUUGAAUGAUAGCUAUUAUUGUAGGCAAACUCAAUAAGAGGUAAAUGAUCAUCCCAGCUGCCUUUAAAAUCUAUAACACAUGCUCGUAGCAUAUCUUCAAGUGUUUGAAUGGUGCGCUCUGCUUGUCCAUCCGUCUGAGGGUGAAAAGCUGUACUCAGAUUCACUUGUGUUCCCAAACCCCGUUGGAAAGACUUCCAAAAGUUUGCAGUAAAUUGAGUUCCCCGAUCCGAUAUAAUAGAAGUUGGCACUCCAUGUAAUCGGACUAUUUCUUUAACAUACAGCUUCGAAUAUUCUUCAACUGUGUAAGUGGUCUUAACGGGUAAGAAAUGUGCGGAUUUAGUAAGCCUAUCCACAAUCACCCAUAUAGAAUCAAAUUUUCGAGCUGUACGAGGCAAACCUGUAACAAAAUCCAUGUUGAUCAUGUCCCACUUCCAAAUUGGAAGAUCUAUGCAUUGCAUAUAGCCUCCGGGUUUUUGGUGCUCAACUUUAACUCAUUGACAAUUUGGACAUUCAGCUACAAAUUCUGCAAUGCCCUUCUUCAUAUCAUUCCACCAAUACAUAUCUUUCAAAUCUUGAUACAUUUUGGUUGAUCUUAGAUGAAUGGAAUACCUUGAAAAAUGUUCCUCUGUCAUAAUCUUCUUUCUUAGAUCGUCUACAUCUGGCAUACAUAAUCAAUUUUGGUACUGAAGUAUAACUUCUUACGUAAGCUCAAAUGUCUUGGUCGCACCACUCUGAACGUUCUCCUUUAGCUAUAAUAAAAUAGGAUCUGCAUAUUGCUUCUCUUUCACUUUAGCUACUAAUGAAGAUUCCGCAGCAUUAUGUACGAUAAGCUCUUUAUUCGGAGUUUCAAGAAGGCGAACUCCCAAACUAGCUAACUGGUGAAGAUCUUUAACCAUCCCUUGCCUUUCUAUAGGCGCCAUCAUAGCCUUACGACUUAACGCAUCAGCUACCACAUUUGCUUUCCCUGGAUGGUACAAGAUAUCAACAUCAUAGUCCUUUAAUAGUUCAAGCCAUCUCCGCUGCCUUAAAUUUAGAUCCUUCUGAUUAAAAAUAUAUUGCAAGCUCUUAUGGUCAGUAUAUAUAUCAACGUGAACCCCAUAUAAGUAGUGGCGCCAUAUCUUUAAAGCAAAAAUAACCGCUGCCAGCUCAAGAUCGUGUGUAGGAUAAUUUUUCUCAUGUGGCCGUAAUUGUCUAGAAGCAUAUGCUAUUACCUUACCAUGCUGCAUCAAUACACAUCCUAAACCAAUUCUGGAAGCAUCACAAUACACUGUAUACCCUUCGGUGCCUUCUGGUAGUACCAACACGGGUGUAGAAAUCAACUUGUUCUUUAAAUCUUGAAAACUCUUCUCACAGGCAUCAUUCCAUUGGAAUUUGGAUGCUUUAUGGGUUAGCUUGGUUAAGGGUGCUGAAAUGGAAGAAAAGUCUUUGACAAACCUUCUAUAAUAACCGGCCAACCCCAGAAAACUACGAAUCUCCGUAGGCGUUGUGGGCCUUGGCCAGUUCUUCACAGCUUCUAUCUUUUGAGCAUCAACCUUUAUCCCUUCACUAGAUACAAUAUGACCCAAAAAUGCCACCGACUUUAACCAAAACUCAGAUUUAGAGAACUUUCCAUAAAGCUUACAAUCACGAAGAGUCUGCAAUACCUGUCGUAAGUGAUUGGCAUGGUCCUCUUCUGAUCUAGAAUAAACUAGAAUAUCAUCUAUAAAAACUAUCACAAAUACAUCUAGGAAUAGCUUAAAAACCUUAUUCAUCAAAUCCAUAAAAGUUGUGGGUGCAUUUUUUAGCCCAAAUAACAUAACUAGAAACUCAUAAUGACCAUACCGUGUUUGGAAAACUGUCUAUGCAGUUUCGAUAAACCCUUCUAGCUAUAAAGGAUUCCCCAAACGGUGUGGACACUUCAAAUGGCUUAACUAACAGUUUGGGUAUUCUUUCGAACUUUACAGCAACCAAUGGAGUAACAUAAGAUAAUGUAGAACCAGGAUCAAUUAAGUCAUAUAAAUUAAAUGAAAAGAUAGACAACGUACCCGUAACCAUAUCUGGGGAAGCCUCUAAAUUCUGUCGAUCCGCUAGAGCAUAUGUACGAUUUUGAGCCCCGCUAGAACUCGUGGCUCCUCUAUCACCUCUAACACGACCCAUUGGUUGUGCACCCCUUCCUGAAUAAGGCAUUGAUGAUGAUGAUGCAACAAAUGAUCUCGUAGUUCAUGCCAUACCCCCUAUGCCCCAUCGUGGGUAUUCUCUCAUCAUAUGCCCCGACAUACCGCACCAAAAGAAAACAAUGGUCCCCAGCAGACAUGGGCCCAAAUGAUACCUUCCAUAUUUAUUGCAUAGCUCUCGAGGAGGUCUCGAUUGGCUCAUAUUCCCUUGCCCUUAUUAACCCACUAUCCGCGAACUCUGACUCUCACUUCUGUGCCCAAAUUGAUUUCCUCUGGACCCUUGGAACUGUGGUGGGGCACUAGCUGCAGAAUAAGAAGAUAAUGGCCAAGGUGGUCUAGCAGAAAACUGUGGUUUGAACCCUCCUUGGGAUGGCAUGAACUGCCCUGUAGAUCUGGCCCUCUUGGAAUAUCCUCUUUCUAAUUCCUUGAUUCUUCUGCUCUGCCUCUGAUCUUCCAUUUUCUGUGCAAAAGCUUGGAUCCUCGCUAUGUCCAUAUCUUUGUUCAAAGCGGUAAUAGUACAAUCUUUAACCAGAUAUGGAUCCAUCCUAUCCACAUAUUGAUGAACUACGUCAUCCAUAGUAGCUACAACAUUAGGAGCAUAUCUCGACAAGGAAUUAAAUCGGAGAUUGUAUUCCCUCACGCUCAUAUUCCCCUGACAAAGAUUUAAAAACUAAUCUGCACUGGCCUGACGAAUCUCGAAUGGAAGAUAAUUAUCAAGAAAUGCCUCUUUGAACUCUUUCCAAGUAGCUGGGAGUGCAUCAAUACCCCUAGGUCGUUUCCAGGCCUCGUACCAAUAUAUAGCCUCCCCUUUAAAUCUAUACGCCGCUAACUCCACUGUCUCUCUACCCGUUACAUGCAUAAUAUCUAAGGCCCUUUGAAUUUGAUAAAUAAAGUCCUGUGGGUCCUCUUUAAGAUCUAAUCCAGCAAAAGUGGGAGGAUCCAUCUUAAGAAAAUCCUGUGUUCGAAGGCUAACUGCCCUAUCUGUACCACUAGGACCCGUGGUAGGAAUGGCUUGCCCAGCAACUAUGCGAGUCAAAAGUUCCACUGCAUUUCUAAGAACUUGGUCAACAACAUUAAUAGGUGGCUCUGGGGAUAUAGUUCUCCUCCCUCUUAUUUCUUCUGGAGUGGAAGAAGUUUCUGAUGCAUGCUCAGCUGGAGCCUCACUUAGAUUAGCUGGUAUAGUGGGUGACUUACUAGUCCCCUCUCCGGCAGCCACAUCUACUUGCUUACCAGUAUUCUUGCUUCUGGUAACCGGCAUCAUUACUAUAAUAAGAGACACAAAUGGAUUCAGUGGUCAACUAUGACUUCAUAUACAAUAUAGGCUCUAUCACACGAUCUAAGACAUGAAGAAAAGAAGCAAUUCCUAAAUGUCCAUAGCCUCCUGUUUGUAGAUGCGGUGCAUGACACACCAAUAAACAUGACUCUACGUAGACACGACUUUGUAGACUCACUAGGACGAACUUUUCUGAUAUCACUUUUGUCAUGCCUCAAAUCCUAUUGGGGUAGACUGGCACCCUUAAUCGAGGAGGCUCGGGAGAACCAGCUCAUAACUUUAUACUUCCCAUGCAUACCUCUAUGACAACCCGAAAUUCAGACAGCAUCAUGUUGCAUAUAAAAGGAAAUAAUCUCCUGUAUAAUCUUGAGCACACAUACGUACGAUACAUGGCCAUUGGAGCCAUCAUGUCUACUAAGAAAACACCACCUUGACUGUAUAUUAGGUCAACAAAGCCUCUAAACUAUACACAGAGUUUAACUAAGAUCGGAACACACCCCGCCAUAUAACUAACAUCUAUACAACACCAAAAGUGACUGGAUGUGACACGAAAAGCCCCGAAGCAAACUGGAGCUCACCAAAAGCAGCUGGAUAUCCUGGCUUCUACUUGUGUGGUAUAUGAUCUGAGGUAAUUGUGCCUACAACAUGAAAUACAGGUCCCCCAUGGGGGACGUCAGUAUGAAAUAUGUACUGAGUAUGUAAAGCUAUAGAUAAUCACAUAUGAUAUAGGAUCUCAAUAGAAAUAAAAAACAAGUGAAUAAAUCAUAAUAGAAGUGGACCACACUUACUAGAACUUAUGACAACUUGUACAUUGUAUUAAUUCAAUCACUUUACCUUCGUUCUUAUCAUCUUUGUAAUCAUUACUAUACUGUACUCUGACCAUUAGGCUGCGUCCAGAACAUAUCAGCUGGGAUUGACCCACGAUAGGCUUAUGCCCAAGGAUACCACCCAUAAACAUAUAAAUAGGGAUCGACCCAUGAUAGGCUUAUGCCCCUAGGAUAUCACCCGAUAAGAGAGCACUUCUAUCACUUAGUUCAAUUAAUCUUUGAGAUUGUUAUUUUGGUUGCCACCGUAUUUUUGAUACUUUGAAAUAAUGAUACAUUAAUAAGAGACAUAUAAAUAGGCCAUCAAUGCAAUAACAAGGAAGUAAGAACUCAUUGGCGUUUUGGAGUCAUCAAUGCCAUAACAAUGAAGUAGGAACUUAUUGGUAUAUCAAUGAAAUGUUUUAGAGUCAUUAAUAGCACAUGGAUCUUUUUUGAGUAACCGGAUACCUUCUGACAUUCAUUAGUGCAAUAAAUAUGUAAGAAUUGGAAGACAAGUAAGUAUUAAUAUCUUGACAUCUUGUAGGGUGGAAAUAAGUUCAUUUGUAACGUAGGACAUCAUACAAAACCAUUAUGAAUCACAUGUUACUGAAUAACUUUGGAAACUUUCUUAAUACAAUAAUUGUUCACAUUCAUGCCAAAGAUAUGGUAUACAGUAUGAUUUACAUACCUGACUGUCAACCUUCAAUACUAGUCCUAAAUGGACUUCUCGUCAUUUUGGAUUACUUAUCUACAAUGAACAUAUAUAGCAAUCUAGUAUUAGCGACCAAACAUCACAAUUCAAUUAUUCAAAUUCACCAAACUAAUGGUUAAGUAGUAAGCCUUAACUACACCAUAAAGGGUGUCACUUUAACCCUCUUAUACUUCCAUUACAUUCACAUGCCAUGCAUAUUCAUACAAUAUCCUCCAAUAUCAAGUUUGGAUUCAUUUAUCCUUUCAACCAAUCCAUUAAACCAAAUUGAGCCAUAGACAUAAAUAAUCAUCAAUUCAAUAUUAUAUCACCAUAUCCACCUUCCAUAACUCAAUUGCCAUAUCCACCUUUGACAAUUCAAUACAACCAAACCAUGCAAAAUCGUUCAUAACCCUAUUUUCAUCACCUUUCAAUAACAACUAAUACAUAUAAUCCUCUAUCACACAUAUACAUAUGGAAAAGAACAAAGGCA